CAGCCCAGAAGUGAAUGCACGUCGAAUUGCAAAUUCGAAAACGUACCCCCAAGGGUACCUGGGCU
rnacentral:tRNA from 1 species